rnacentral:miRNA from 1 species
ACCAGUCAUCCUGGUGUGCCUGGGACUGAGGGGUUUCCUGGGAUGUGAGACUUUCAGGUUAAAACCAGGAGAU